rnacentral:lncRNA from 1 species
UUCAAGAGUUCAAGUCUUUGUAUAGAGGAUCUAACAUACCUCACCUCAUUACGAAUAACAUUAAUAGACAUAUUCAUGAGUUUCAAACCAUCAUUCACAAUCAAGUUAAGAAUAUGAGCUACGCACCGCAUAUGCAUAUUUUCCCCCUUAUUCAAAAUCAUAUUAGGUUGUCCCGAAACAUUUAACUUAUUGAUUAACUCUCUUAUUACAACAUCAUUUGUCGAAGCAUUAUCAAUAGUGAUUGUUAAAAUCUUCUCUAUGCCCCACUCUAACAAACAAUCUUUCAAAAGUUUAGCUAUGGAAUCUCCUUUAUGAUCUAAAAUGACACAAAAGUUAAUGACUCUUCUAUGUAAUACCCAUCAUUAAGGAAUAAUGCCCAUUUGGUACUAAUUAUUGGGUAUGGUUACCCAUUCCAAUGAAAAACGUUUUCCAUUGCCCAUUUCAAUUAUUCUUACCAAAAUUACUUUUCUAUCACUAACCUAACUGUCUAAUCUUAUCCCUCCACCUCUCAUUUAAGAUCUACUCUCUCUCUCUCUCUCUCUCUCUCUCUCUCUCUCUCUCUCUCUCUCUCUCUCUCUCUCUUCAAUCUCUCUCACUCCGCCAUCGUUCUCUGAUCCAGGUCUGCUCCGACCUCCAGCAGCAACCGCAUGCACGCCUCCGACGAACAGAAGAGUAGUGCGGUCGUCAGAGUUGCGUCAUUGUCAUCCUCUGAUCCGUCAACGUCAUCGUCGUCCUCGACCCAACCGGUAAACACCGUUGUUUUAACCGGAUCUGGGACUUCGUCACUGCCUCAUCCUCCUCCUCGCCUCGUCGAUCCAAACCGUAGGAUCUGAGACUUCGUCACCGCCUCUCUCUCUCUCUUUGGCUGCCUCGACGUCGACGCCAACGACGCCUCAAGGACGAGGAUGACGCACCGGCGAGGAGCCUGACGAGGAUCAUGGGGUCGAGCCACCUCCGGCAUCUCGAGCUACUAGAGGAGGAUUGCAACCCCGGCCAGGCUAUGGAUUUGAAGGUAGGAUAUGAUCCUUCUUUGAUAUUGUUGGUAAAUUGUGGUUGUUGUUGGUCUGGAGGUUAAAUUGGUGUUGUGGUUAGAGAAGGAGAGAAGGUGAGAAGAGUAGCUGCCAUGAUUUCAUUUUGGAUGCAGAGAAAUGGUGCAAGGGAGUAGAUCCAGUGAGUGAGGGUGCAUGGUAAGAGAGUAUAUCCAAUUACUGGGGGUCAGUAGUUUUUCUGGCUUGAAAAUUAUUGGGGUCAGUAAUUUUUCUUUUGGUUUCGUUUUGGUUGUGAAUUGUCUUCUUCUUCUAUUUUCUUUGUUUUUCUGUGUUUUGACAGAUUAUUAGGGUCAGUACAGAGGUCAGUAGAAAAUUACUGGGGGUCAGUAAUUUUUCUUUUGGUUGGGAAUUGCCUUCUUAAUCUAUCUUCUUUGUUUUUAUGUGUUUUGAUAGAUUAUUGGGGUCAGUUCAGAGGUCAAUAGAAAAUUACUGGGGGUCAGUAAUUUUUCUUUUGGUUUCGUUUUGGUUGGAAAUUGCCUUCUUCUUCGUUUUUAUAUGCUUUGACAGAUUAUUGGGGGUCAAUACAGAGGUCAAUAGUUGAUUACUGGGGGUCAGUACUGACCCCCAGUAAAAUCUCAGUAGAAGUUUACUACUCCCUCAGUAGAAGUUUACUGCCCCCAGUAAAACAUUUUUCAUCAUUACUGUCCCUCAAUAAGGUUUUAUUGACUUCAGUAGAAGUUUACUGCCCACCAGUAAAAUCUCAGUAGAAGUUUAUUGCCCCCUAGUAAAACAUUUUUCAUCAUUACUGCCCCUUAAUUAAACUUCAGCGAUGGUGUAGUAUACUUUCGGCAAGGUCCGGUGAAAAAAUCCGGCGAGAUUUCUAACGACCGGCGAGAUUCCGGUGACAUUUUAAAAAAAUCCGGCGAAAUUCCGGUUUACUAGGGGUCAGUAAUAUUCUGGAGACCGGAUUUCGGCGACCGGUGACCGAAGUCCGGCAAAGUCUUCUCUCUCUCUUCCAUUUUCUCUCUCUAAAUGUGUAUAAGACACAAGGGUAAAAGUGUCUCAAAAAAAAUAUUAUUUUAUUAUGAAUUUAAUAAAGAUUUAUGUAUUUGGGCACAAAUAAGUUAACCUCUUAUUCAAUUGGGGUCAAAAGUCUUAUUGUCAUUGGAAUGAGGUUUGACUUUUAUUUUUUUGUGCAAAUGAGCAUUUUUCCUCAAUUAAAUAUGCGGUAACAACCAUAUAAUUGAUGUUUUGAAUGGAUGAUGUCCAUGUAUCCGUCGUGAGACACAUUCUUCUCCCCUUCAAUUCACCCUUCAACUUCUUAUUCUCCCACAUAUACACCUUAAGCAUACCCUUUGCUACCGUCUUCCUACAAGGGACUUUCCAAAAAGGUAAUGCUCUUUCCAUAAAACGCUUAAACCCCAUGCCCUCCACAUGAGUAAAGGGCAGCUCAUCUAAAAUAAUCAUCUCCACACAUAACCUAGUGAGCACUUCUUUUGUCAAAGGAGAGGCAUCCAACUCCCUAAUAUCUUUUUUGGGACACAAAAUCUUUUGUUUUUUAGCUUUCAACAUUUCAAUAUUAUAAGGAUACUUGCGGUAUUUAUCAAUAUGACUAAUAAGGGAGGAUGUACCAUUUGUACCCGGAUCGGUAAGAUAUUCUUUACUACAAUAAAUACAUUCACCCUUAACUCUAUGGUUAACCAUUUUUGUAGUGUAACUCUAUGGUUAACGAUUAUCAAAUUGGUUGAAAAUUUGUUGAGAUGAUCUACACAUUAGUGUCUAAAAAUUAGAUAGUGGAGAUGUGAAAAUUCGAUUGUGAAAUGAGUCUAAAUUGGAAAUCCGCACCAUAAGAAUAAAUAAGGACAUCCUUAGAAGGUAUAGAUUUUACCAAUAGAACCACUUUCGGUCAUAUUUUUUGAUCAUAGCCAACUAGUAUCUAGAUAUAUAUGACAUGAUCAUCUCUACAAAAUUUCAGCUAAAUUGGUGAUCGUUAAGAUGUCGAAACUAUAUGAUUACAAUGAGUGAACCAAAUAUGUUCAACCAGAACCAUUCGUGUAAUUCACAAUUUUGAAUACCUU